rnacentral:rRNA from 1 species
AAUAGAUACCCCGGUAGUCCAUGCCGUAAACGAUGUCUACUAGCCGUUGGGGCCUUUGAGGCUUUAGUGGCGCAGCUAACGCGAUAAGUAGACCGCCUGGGGAGUACGGUCGCAAGACUAAAACUCAAAUGAAUUGACGGGGGCCCGCACAAGCGGUGGAGCAUGUGGUUUAAUUCGAUGCAACGCGAAGAACCUUACCUGGUCCUUGACAUACUAAGAACUUUCCAGAGAUGGAUCGGUGUCCGUUACGGUAACUUAGAUACGUACGGUGUCGUGCGUAGUGGUCUGUCGUCACGUCUCGUGUCGUGAGUAGUUGUUACGGUUAACGUACCGACGNNNNNNNNNAACCGGAGUCCGUCAACCCCUUUUUCCUACCUUGCCCUAGUCAUUUCGGAAUUGGGAAACUUUUAAGGAUACUGUCCAGUGACGAAACGUGGAGGAAGGCGGGGACGACGGUCAAGUCAUCAUGGCCCUUACGGCCG